AGGACGAACGCUGGCGGCGUGCUUAACACAUGCAAGUCGAACGGUAAGGCCCUUCGGGGUACACGAGUGGCGAACGGGUGAGUAACACGUGGGUGAUCUGCCCUGCACUUCGGGAUAAGCUUGGGAAACUGGGUCUAAUACCGGAUAUGACUACGAAUCGCAUGGUUUGUGGUGGAAAGCUUUUGCGGUGUGGGAUGGGCCCGCGGCCUAUCAGCUUGUUGGUGGGGUGAUGGCCCACCAAGGCGACGACGGGUA
rnacentral:rRNA from 1 species